CUGGUGUCAGCCGCCGCGGUAAUACCAGCACCCCGAGUGGUCGGGACGAUUAUUGGGCCUAAAGCAUCCGUAGCCGGUCCUACAAGUCUUCCGUUAAAUCCACCUGCUUAACAGAUGGGCUGCGGAAGAUACUAUAGGGCUAGGAGGCGGGAGAGGCAAGCGGUACUCAGUGGGUAGGGGUAAAAUCCUCUGAUCCAUUGAAGACCACCAGUGGCGAAGGCGGCUUGCCAGAACGCGCUCGACGGUGAGGGAUGAAAGCUGGGGGAGCAAACCGGAUUAGAUACCCGGGUAGUCCCAGCUGUAAACGAUGCAGACUCGGUGAUGGGUUGGCCUUGUGCCGUCCCAGUGCCGCACGGAAGCCGUUAAGUCUGCCGCCUGGGGAGUACGAUCGCAAGACUGAAACUUAAAGGAAUUGGCGGGGGAGCACCACACACGGGUGAAGCCUGAGGUUCAAUUGUAAUCUACACCCGAAAUCUGAACGGGGACGACAGCGCGAUGAACACUGGCUGAAAAGCUUAACACAUUAGCU
rnacentral:rRNA from 2 species